rnacentral:sRNA from 1 species
CUGCUGAAAGUUGUGUAUGAGUAGUCAUAUCAUAAAGCUGCUUUGAUAUAAAAAAGAUCUAUGGCCAUACUACCCUGAAUGAGUCCCAUCCCAUCUGAUAUAAACAAUCUGCAUAUUGGGAUUGUCAGGGAAUGUUCUUAAAGAUCAGAUUAGUGGUUACCCACAUUACCUGCAAGGCUUUGAUCUUUCUUCUGCCAUUUCCACAUUGGACAUCUCUGCUGAGGAGAGAAAAUGAACCACUCUUUUCCUUUGUAUAAUGUUGUUUUAUUCUUCAGACAGAAGAGAGGAGUUAUACAGUUCUGCAGACAUCCCAUUCCUGUAUGGGGACUGUGUUUGCAUCUUAGAGGCUCCCAGGCCACUAGAGGAGAUAAAGGGAAACAGAUUGUUAUAACUUGAUAUAAUGAUACUAUAAUAGAUGUAACUACAAGGAGCUCCAGAAGCAAGAGAGAGGGAGGAACUUGGACUUCUCUGC